CGGCGACCGGCGCACGGGUGAGUAACACGUAUGCGACCUGCCCGUAGCAGGGGGAUAAGCGGAAGAAAUUCCGUCUAAUACCGCGUAAUAUCUUUCGGGGGCAUCCUGAGGGAUUAAAGGAAGCGAUUCCGGCUACGGAUGGGCAUGCGGCGCAUUAGCUAGUCGGCGGGGUAACGGCCCACCGAGGCGACGAUGCGUAGGGGUUCUGAGAGGAAGGUCCCCCACACUGGUACUGAGACACGGACCAGACUCCUACGGAAGGCAGCAG
rnacentral:rRNA from 1 species